rfam:Aspergillus aculeatus ATCC 16872 unplaced genomic scaffold ASPACscaffold_5, whole genome shotgun sequence.
GCCCGGAUGGUCUAGUGGUAUGAUUCUCGCUUUGGGAUCCACAUCUUAAAUGCGAGAGGCCCCGCGUUCGAAUCGCGGUUCGGGCC